CCGUGGGGCCUUCGGCCCCGCCAAAGGUAGCACCCUUUGUCCACGAGCACCCUUCGUUUCCUCGGCGGGCUCGCCCGCCUAGAGGACCAUCAGAAACCCUUUGCAGUAGCAGUAUCCUCAGUAAAAACAAAUAUUA
rnacentral:misc_RNA from 1 species